ensembl:snRNA Rnu6-722 RNA, U6 small nuclear 722
GCUUCGGCAGCAACAUAGACUAGAAUUGGAACGAUACAGAGAAGAUUAACAUGGGCUCUGCGCAAGGAUGACACGCAAAUUCGUGAAGCGUUCCAUAAAAAA